UACGUAGGGUGCGAGCGUUAAUCGGAAUUACUGGGCGUAAAGCGUGCGCAGGCGGUUCGUUGUGUCGGCGGUGAAAGCCCCGGGCUUAACCUGGGAAUGGCCGUUGAAACUGGCGAACUGGAGUGUGGCAGAGGGGGGUAGAAUUCCACGUGUAGCAGUGAAAUGCGUAGAGAUGUGGAGGAAUACCGAUGGCGAAGGCAGCCCCCUGGGAUAACACUGACGCUCAUGCACGAAAGCGUGGGGAGCAAACAGG
rnacentral:rRNA from 1 species